rnacentral:rRNA from 1 species
UACGGGGGGGGCAAGCGUUGUUCGGAAUUAUUGGGCGUAAAGGGCUCGUAGGCGGUUUGUCGCGUCGGGAGUGAAAUCCACUGGCUUAACUGGUGACUUGCUUUCGAUACGGGCAGACUGGAGGUAUGCAGGGGAGAACGGAAUUCCUGGUGUAGCGGUGAAAUGCGCAGAUAUCAGGAGGAACACCGGUGGCGAAGGCGGUUCUCUGGGCAGUUGCUGACGCUGAUGCGCGACAGCGUGGGGAGCAAACAGG